rnacentral:rRNA from 1 species
AGGAUUAGAUACCCUGGUAGUCCACACGGUAAACGAUGGAUACUCGCUGUUGGCGAUAUACUGUCAGCGGCCAAGCGAAAGCAUUAAGUAUCCCACCUGGGGAGUACGCCGGCAACGGUGAAACUCAAAGGAAUUGACGGGGGCCCGCACAAGCGGAGGAACAUGUGGUUUAAUUCGAUGAUACGCGAGGAACCUUACCAG